AGCUUGCUGGGGGAUUAGUGGCGAACGGGUGAGUAACACGUGAGUAACCUGCCCUUGACUCUGGGAUAAGCCUGGGAAACUGGGUCUAAUACCGGAUAUGACUCCUCAUCGCAUGGUGGGGGGUGGAAAGCUUUUGUGGUUUUGGAUGGACUCGCGGCCUAUCAGCUUGUUGGUGGGGUAAUGGCCUACCAAGGCGACGACGGGUAGCCGGCCUGAGAGGGUGACCGGCCACACUGGGACUGAGACACGGCCCAGACUCCUACGGGAGGCAGCAGUGGGGAAUAUUGCACAAUGGGCGCAAGCCUGAUGCAGCGACGCCGCGUGAGGGAUGACGGCCUUCGGGUUGUAAACCUCUUUCAGUAGGGAAGAAGCGUAAGUGACGGUACCUGCAGAAGAAGCGCCGGCUAACUACGUGUCUGCAGCCGCGGUAAUACGUAGGGCGCAAGCGUUAUCCGGAAUUUAUUGGGCGUUAAGAGCUCGU
rnacentral:rRNA from 2 species